GAAAAAAGAAAUAGAGAACAAAACUGAAGAAAGACAUGGAGGACAAGGAAAAAAGACAGAGGUCUCGGGUGAUGCAAACCCCAGAACGAUGCCUGCGCUGCAUUCUUUGAGGAUUUGAACAUCUCAGAUGAAACAGUAGGGGACAUUUGGAAGCCUGAGUCCAACGUAGGGAAGCUUCCGAAGAGGAGACUUCACUCGCAUUUCUGGAGAGCCUAUCUGGUUGCCUGCAAAUCCAGCACAUCCCCCCAUAACGUGCGUAACCCAGGCCAAGAAAUGCCAGAGAAGGACUGACAAAGGAGAUUGGGCAAAAAAGUGUCGUCGCAUUCCUGAGCUAUCGCUGUGGCAACCUUGGAGCCGAACAAUAGAUGAGACCGUCUCCUGCUGGACAGGUGAUGUGGUCAGCCAGCAGCCAGGCCUAUAGAAGCCCACCAUCUCAAUGACUGCCCAGCCUUUCACAAUAGAUCUCCCAGAUUCGAUUUAACAUAAUAAAGUUCCCGGCUCCCUUCCCCGGGGUUUGGAUUGUGUUCCGCAUCGGAAUGAAACGGAGGGGAAAAAAAGGCAAGUUUGAUCUGACAACUGUGAAUAUCUUCUCCCGGCGCUUUAAACUGAAAAGGAAAGAGAAAUGCUAAUUUUAAAGUGGGGGGAAAAAAAAGUUCUGUUUCAGGCCCAGCUCCAAGGGCUUGUGUGCUUUUGGAAUUAACGCUGUCUUUUCUGCCAGCGUGGCUGGUCCCGACCAUUGUGGCCCAUUUUCAUAAGUGCCCAGUCCGAGAGAGGGGCAGCGUGACGUGAAUGUGAUUUUUUUUUUAAAUGUCCUGGAAUACUCAGAAAUGUGUGAAAGUAACAUGAGCUGACCCACAGCUGAGUCAGAAUGAUUCUCGAUUCCAGUCAGGUGAUCUUUAAUCUUCAUUUCCAGAAUUGGAAAAAAAAAGAAAAGUGCUCCUUACGGUCAGUAACCGGGCGGGGGUUCAUAAGGAGAGGGAGCAGCUGAGCAGGAAGCUCUGAAGCCUUGUCGCGCUCUGAGAACAAUAAUGGGAAACCUGCUGGGUACGUCCCUGUCCAGCGACUCAGAGCGCUGCUUCCUCGCCUGGAAAUGUGUUCUCAUAGGUGCAAGAUUCAUUUCCUAUAUAAGUUCAGGGAAGUUAAUGACUGAAUCACAGUAUAACGGUUUCCAGCAUAUCGACUACAGUGACUAAUAUAAAUAUGAUGC